CCUACGGGUGGCAGCAGUGGGGAAUAUUGCGCAAUGGGCGAAAGCCUGACGCAGCGACGCCGCGUGAGGGAAGAAGGUCUUCGGAUCGUAAACCUCUGUCAGCAGGGAAGAACGGUCACUGUGUUAAUCAGCAGUGCAUUGACGGUACCUGCAAAGGAAGCACCGGCUAACUCCGUGCCAGCAGCCGCGGUAAUACGGAGGGUGCAAGCGUUAAUCGGAAUUACUGGGCGUAAAGCGCUCGUAGGCGGGAUGUCAAGUCAAAGGUGAAAUCCCCGGGCUCAACGUGGGAACUGCCUUUGAAACUGGCAAACUGGAGUGUGUGAGAGGAUAGUGGAAUUCCAGGUGUAGGAGUGAAAGCCGUAGAUAUCUGGAGGAACAUCAGUGGCGAAGGCGACUAUCUGGCACAUAACUGACGCUGAGGAGCGAAAGCGUGGGUAGCAAACAUGAUUAGAUACCCUAGUAGUC
rnacentral:rRNA from 1 species